rnacentral:lncRNA from 1 species
AAUCACGCGCUAUUAUUCUGUAAGCUACAACGACGACACACUGGCCUGCACAUGCAUGUGUCCAUGCAUGCUCGAUCGAUGAGCUGAGCUCAUCAGGACUCCUGGCUUGGUAGCGGGCAGCAGCAUGUGUACAUCAACCGCUCCCGGCAGAACGCCUCCGUUUCAUCCCAGCGGCGUGACCAUUUCCCUGGUGUCUUGCAGGCUUUGAUGGCACGACGGGUGCAAUACUC